rnacentral:rRNA from 1 species
UACAGAGGCCUCGAGCGUUAGGCGGAAUCACUGGGCUUAAAGCGUGUGUAGGCGGACUUCUAAGUACCUUGUGAAAUCCCACGGCUCACCCGUGGAACUGCUGGGUAUACUGGUCGUCUUGAGCCUUCUAGGGGCUACCGGAACAAAUGGUGGAGCGGUGAAAUGCGUAGAUAUCAUUUGGAACGCCAAUGGUGAAAACAGGUAGCUGGGGAAGUGCUGACGCUGAGACACGAAAGCCAGGGGAGCGAACGGG